ensembl:lncRNA
GUGGGGAUCAUUGAGGGUCCUCCAGAAGGCUGCCUCCCACACCAUCCUCCCUCUGCUGGUGUGCUCAUGACCGCUGGGUCACCCUUGCUGACGGGAGAGAGGGGUGGGGCCUCGACUGUGAUUUGCGGUCCGAGUACAUGUGGUGGGGGAGAGGCAGUGUGAGGACAGAGCCACUUGAUGCUGGAAAGAGCCAAGGUGUGCUCAAAACUACAUACAUUCAAUUAAUGUCUCUGAAAUAUUUUAUUUGCUAUAAGAAUAUAAUGCAAAAUACCAAAGCAUUUGUGAAGUGCCCUGAGGAAGCUUCAAGACAUAGCGUUUCCAGUGUCCUCAGAAGAAGCUUCUAAGGCCUCAGAGAAAAAUAUAAGUUUUGGCCAAAUGCCUCAAAUCCAUAUGCACACUCCAUCUACCAAAUGGUGUUAAUAGUUUCCUUUUUAAAGAACUCUUGAGUUCUGAUGCUCCAUGUGGAGAUGGAAAAUCAAGUCGUGCCCCGCAGUGGCUGGUCCUCAUAAUUAAGAUUAAACUCGUACACAGAGACCAACUGGAAAAGGGCUUUUCUCCUGGACCAGUUAAAAUGGAGCCCCUCUACCUGAAGAUGAGCAGCAACAAGCUCACAGGCAAAAUCUACCACUGGAUGGAGUAGAUGUGACUCCUUCUCUCUAAUGCCAACACGCAUGUGCAGAGGGUUUUACAGUGUGUGAAGCACUUUACCAUCAAUUAUUCAGUCCUCUCCACAGCCCAUGAGGUGAGUGGGUAUGGCCUACAUCAUUAUUUCUGUCUCGUUCAAGAGGAAACUGAGUCUCAGAGGAAGUGACUUGUGUAAGGACCAGAGUUGGGCCUGAGCAGGCCUAAGAUGCAGACCUGCUCUCUACAGAGCCCAGGGCAGUCUUUCCAUCCCCAAACUGAGAAAAUUAGGAAGGGACAGUAGAAAGCCAGCUAAGUGGAGGGUAAUAAGUGGGCUUAUAUCCCAGCUUUGGAAGAAAAACAGGAGUUUUCACUGAGGCCUCAUGGGCCAGCAGUAGAUUUAAUGCAGUCAUGAGCAGGUCAAAGCAUGAGAGAAGGAGACCAACUGGGAUGUUUCUUGGGUCUUUCCUGAUCUGCUCUCUUGGUUGGACUUCCAGCUCUCAACUCUGUGGCCACCCACAAGCCCAGCAUAAACAGGAUUGAAAACUCGGUCCUCUCCAUUUGUCCCUCUUCCACCUUCUCGAGUGAGGGCUUUCUCACUCAACAAAAAUUUUCUGAGUGCUUCCUCUGUGCCAGGCACCAAGGAUACAGCAGUGGGCAACACCCAAGCAGAUCUCUGCCUUCCUUGAAGUUCUAUGCUCCACUCUCCCUAUUUCAUUUCAGGUCUGUCAGCACUUCAGCGUGUGUUGGAGUUGUAGGCAUCAUCAGAAGAGCUGGAGCUGUGAGUCCAUCGUCCAACGUUGAAGAAACAGAAAGAAAGCUUUCUAUUUUCCAGAGGCAGGCCUGUGCAAAGCAACCUUUCCCAGAUGGGUGGACUCCGCAGUCCUCUCGUAAUGGACCCCACACAGGCACACUGAGUCAGCACGCACAGAUUUCUGUUAAAACACUGACUGGGCUCUUUGAGCACCAGAAGUUAUCCAGCCGUGUCUCAUCAGCAGCCAACAACUCCAUGCUCCUCAUGGCUCCCUCCCCGACAUCAGUCCUGAGGGGAUAUCAGAGAGUCCGAGAGCCCAACUACAGUCCGAAGACUUGGUCAUGGUUAGUGGCGGAUGUGCCACUAACGACUGUAUAAUCUUGGGUGAAUCAUUCUGAUCUUUGGCCUCUUGUGUCCUCAUUUAUGCAAUAAUGUACCCCUAAGGUUUCUUCUGGUUCUAGAACUCUCUGACACUCAGACAUGGCCAGAUCCCCAUGUUAACCAUUGUGCUGCGUUCCAGUGCCGGUCUUUGGGUUUUGCUCUUUGCCUGAAAAAGGGUGUUACUGUGUCAAGUGCACACUGUUUGCUUCCUGAGAAACAGAGAAGCGUCUCGGCUGAAUCUGGGAAUUUUGGACUUUUCCAGACUUGGAUCCCAGCCCAGAGGCAAGGAAGAGCAUGAGGUCAUUCUAAAUGGAGGGGAAAAUGGCUCCUGGCAGCUCCAGGGGCCCUAAAGAUCUUUGAUCCCAGUGGAAGAGAGAAAGUCCCUUCUGAGAGCUCCAGAAAGCAGGAAGGCUGAUUUUUCUGGCUUGAGCUACACAUCUACCUCUGAAGCACUGUGGUCAAGGAAAUUGAGUACUAGAGAAUGCAAUCACCAACCACCUUGAACCAGACCAAGCCUCACUACAAGAGCUAUGCUUAUGACCUUUGCCUUAUGUUCGAUGCUGCGAUCUCUCCAGGAGAAUCUUAGGCCUUAUUCCCGUAACCUGCAGUGUAUGUGGAAGCAUGUUUUCGAACGGAGCCUGUGCAAGUGAAUACCCACCUCUCCCUUUUGAAUAUUCAUUCCCCACCCGAAAUAAAAGGUCCCUGCUUCCCUUUGUUUGGGGACGCCAUGACUCUGGAAAUGAUU